rnacentral:tRNA from 1 species
UCGGAGGUCGUCCAACGGUAGGACAGCAGCCUUUGGAGCUGCGAAUUGGGGUUCGAGUCCCUACCUCCGAACCA